rnacentral:rRNA from 1 species
UAACUGCGAGUGAAGAGGGAAGAGCUCAUCAUUGGCAUCUGGCAGCGUUGCGCUGUCCGAGUUGUAGAUGAGAAGAGUAGGCCAUCUGGACUGCGUGGUGUCCAAGUACAAUAGGCCGUCAGUGGGACAUCAUAGAGGGUGACAAUCCCGUCCUUGACACCAACGUACGAGUCCAUUACGAUGCCUAUCUCAGAGAGUCGAGCAGUUUGGGAUUUGGUGCUUAAACAUGGGAGGUAGAUUCCUUCUUAAGCUAAAUACAGGCAAGAGACC